rnacentral:rRNA from 1 species
AUCCUGUCUGAAUAUGGGGGGACCAUCCUCCAAGGCUAAAUACUCCUGACUGACCGAUAGUGAACCAGUACCGUGAGGGAAAGGCGAAAAGAACCCCUGUGAGGGGAGUGAAAUAGAACCUGAAACCGUGUACGUACAAGCAGUGGGAGCCCUUCGGGGUGACUGCGUACCUUUUGUAUAAUGGGUCAGCGACUUACAUUUUGUAGCGAGGUUAACCGUAUAGGGGAGCCGUAGGGAAACCGAGUCUUAACUGGGCGUCUAGUUGCAAGGUGUAGACCCGAAACCGGGUGAUCUAGCCAUGGGCAGGUUGAAGGUUGAGUAACAUCAACUGGAGGACCGAACCCACUAACGUUGCAAAGUUAGGGGAUGACCUGUGGCUGGGGGUGAAAGGCCAAUCAAACUCGGAGAUAGCUGGUUCUCCCCGAAAGCUAUUUAGGUAGCGCCUCGGACGAAUACUACUGGGGGUAGAGCACUGUUUGGGCUAGGGGGUCAUCCCGACUUACCAACCCCAUGCAAACUCCGAAUACCAGUAAGUAAUAUCCGGGAGACACACGGCGGGUGCUAACGUCCGUCGUGAAGAGGGAAACAACCCAGACCGCCGGCUAAGGUCCCAAAGUUCUGGUUAAGUGGGAAACGAUGUGGGAAGGCUCAGACAGCUAGGAUGUUGGCUUAGAAGCAGCCAUCAUUUAAAGAAAGCGUAAUAGCUCACUAGUCGAGUCGGCCUGCGCGGAAGAUGUAACGGGGCUCAAACCAGGCACCGAAGCCGCGGAUUCACGCUAAGCGUGAGUGGUAGGGGAGCGUUCUGUAAGUCUGCGAAGGUGUAUCGAGAGGUAUGCUGGAGAUAUCAGAAGUGCGAAUGCUGACGUAAGUAACGAUAAAGGGGGUGAAAAGCCUCCUCGCCGGAAGACCAAGGGUUCCUGUCCAACGUUAAUCGGGGCAGGGUGAGUCGACCCCUAAGGUGAGGCCGAAAGGCGUAAUCGAUGGGAAGCAGGUUAAUAUUCCUGCACGACUUGUAAUUGCGAUGGGGGGACGGAGAAGGCUAGGUGGGCCAGGCGACGGUUGUCCUGGUGAAAGUGCGUAGGUGGUGUUUCCAGGCAAAUCCGGAGACACAACACUGAGACACGAGACGAACGCACUACGGUGCGGAAGCCAUUGAUGCCCUGCUUCCAGGAAAAGCCUCUAAGCUUCAGAUUACAAGUCAUCGUACCCCAAACCGACACAGGUGGUCGGGUAGAGAAUACCAAGGCGCUUGAGAGAACUCGGGUGAAGGAACUAGGCAAAAUAGAACCGUAACUUCGGGAGAAGGUUCGCUCUUGAUGGUGAAGUCCCUUGCGGAUGGAGCUGUCGGGAGUCGCAGUGACCAGAUGGCUGGGACUGUUUAUCAAAAACACAGCACUCUGCAAACACGAAAGUGGACGUAUAGGGUGUGACACCUGCCCGGUGCCGGAAGGUUAAUUGAUGGGGUUAGCGCAAGCGAAGCUCUUGAUCGAAGCCCCGGUAAACGGCGGCCGUAACUAUAACGGUCCUAAGGUAGCGAAAUUCCUUGUCGGGUAAGUUCCGACCUGCACGAAUGGUGUAACCAUGGCCAUGCUGUCUCCACCCGAGACUCAGUGAAAUCGAAUUCGCCGUGAAGAUGCGGUGUACCCGCGGCUAGACGGAAAGACCCCGUGAACCUUUACUACAGCUUGGCACUGAACAUUGAACCUACAUGUGUAGGAUAGGUGGGAGGCUUUGAAGGCGUGACGCCAGUUGCGCUGGAGCCGUCCUUGAAAUACCACCCUUGUAUGUUUGAUGUUCUAACGCAGGGCCCUGAAUCGGGCUCGCGGACAGUGCCUGGUGGGUAGUUUGACUGGGGCGGUCUCCUCCCAAAGAGUAACGGAGGAGCACGAAGGUUAGCUAAUCCUGGUCGGACAUCAGGAGGUUAGUGCAAUGGCAUAAGCUAGCUUGACUGCGAGCGUGACGGCGCGAGCAGGUGCGAAAGCAGGUCAUAGUGAUCCGGUGGUUCUGAAUGGAAGGGCCAUCGCUCAACGGAUAAAAGGUACUCCGGGGAUAACAGGCUGAUACCGCCCAAGAGUUCAUAUCGACGGCGGUGUUUGGCACCUCGAUGUCGGCUCAUCACAUCCUGGGGCUGAAGUAGGUCCCAAGG